rnacentral:rRNA from 1 species
GACGAACGCUGGCGGCGUGCUUAACACAUGCAAGUCGAACGGAAAGGCCCUGCUUGCAGGGUACUCGAGUGGCGAACGGGUGAGUAACACGUGGGUGAUCUGCCCUGCACUUCGGGAUAAGCUUGGGAAACUGGGUCUAAUACCGGAUAGGAGCCAUCUUUAGUGUGGUGGUUGGAAAGUUUUUUCGGUGUAGGAUGAGCUCGCGGCCUAUCAGCUUGUUGGUGGGGUAAUGGCCUACCAAGGCGGCGACGGGUAGCCGGCCUGAGAGGGUGUACGGCCACAUUGGGACUGAGAUACGGCCCAGACUCCUACGGGAGGCAGCAGUGGGGAAUAUUGCACAAUGGGCGCAAGCCUGAUGCAGCGACGCCGCGUGGGGGAUGAAGGCCUUCGGGUUGUAAACUCCUUUCGCUAGGGACGAAGCUUUUUUGCGACGGUACCUAGAUAAGAAGCACCGGCUAACUACGUG